rnacentral:lncRNA from 12 species
CUGAAGGCAGGCAGGAUGAUGGUGUGUACGUGAUUUUUCAAACAUGGAACAAUCUCAGAAAUUACAUUGUCAAGCUCCCUGCUCCUGUGUAGAAAGUUGCACUUCCAUAAAGAUGGUUUAAUCUCCAGUUCUCCAUUCUUGUCACUGCUUGACAGGAUGUUGAAUGUAGAUCUGCUGCUUUGGGGAUGUUUAAAUAAGAAUGUGC